GAUGAAUGCUGGCGGCAUGCCUAAUACAUGCAAGUCGAGCGAACAGAUGAAGUGCUUGCACUUCUGACGUUAGCGGCGAACGGGUGAGUAACACGUAAGGAAUCUACCUAUAAGCGGGGGAUAACAUUCGGAAACGGGUGCUAAUACCGCAUAAUAUCUUCUUCCGCAUGGAAGAAGAUUGAAAGACGGCUCUGCUGUCACUUAUAGAUGACCUUGCGGUGCAUUAGUUAGUUGGUGGGGUAACGGCCUACCAAGACGAUGAUGCAUAGCCGACCGGAGAGGGUGAUCGGCCACAUUGGGACUGAGACACGGCCCAAACUCCUACGGGAGGCAGCAGUAGGGAAUCUUCCGCAAUGGGCGAAAGCCUGACGGAGCAAUGCCGCGUGAGUGAAGAAGGCCUUCGGGUCGUAAAACUCUGUUAUAAGAGAAGAACAAAUUGUAGAGUAACUGCUACAGUCUUGACGGUAUCUUAUCAGAAAGCCACGGCUAACUACGUGCCAGCCGCCGCCGUAA
rnacentral:rRNA from 1 species